rnacentral:tRNA from 1 species
UUUAAUUUAGUUUAAUAAAAAUAUAGGUUUGUCAAGCCUAAGAUUUGAUCUCUUUCAAAAUUUGAU